GCGCCAAAACACAUAAGGUCUCCAUACCUCGUUCGGUAUGAGAGACCACGUUCCCGGUAGGGUUCCCUACGGACCCGGUCCGUCCACCAUCUCCCAGGAUAUCUAGUCAGGCUGUCCACAUUAUCCACUUAUCAAUUCACAUAACCUUUUUGCCAUUUUUUUUUGUUUCAAUAAUCCAAACACACACAACAUGUAAACCAGUAAUGGACACCAAACAAGACAACACAGUAUCGAGUUAAGCAUAAUACCAACCAUAAUAAAAGAAACCAUGAUUCAUGCAUACGAGACCAUAAUAUUAUUACAUCAAACAUCAUGCUGCAUUUAAUACUGAAAUUAAAUCAAACAAUAAGAGACCAACCCAGUAUCAGACUUGGACUCCAUUGGCAACCU
rnacentral:lncRNA from 1 species